AGUGAACGCUGGCGGUAGGCCUAACACAUGCAAGUCGCACGGCAGCACAGUAAGAGCUUGCUCUUACGGGUGGCGAGUUGAGGACGGGUGAGGAAUACAUCGGAAUCUACUUUUUCGUGGGGGGUAACGUAGGGAAACUUACGCUAAUACCGCAUACGACCCACGGGUGAAAGCAGGGGAUCUUCGGACCUUGCGCGAUUGAAUGAGCCGAUGUCGGAUUAGCUAGUUGGCGGGGUAAAGGCCCACCAAGGCGACGAUCCGUAGCUGGUCUGAGAGGAUGAUCAGUCACACUGGAACUGAGACACGGUUCAGACUCCUACGGGAGGCAGCAGUGGGGAAUAUUGGACAAUGGGCGCAAGCCUGAUCCAGCCAUACCGCGUGGGUGAAGAAGGCCUUCGGGUUGUAAAGCCCUUUUGUUGGGAAAGAAAAGCAGCAGGUUAAUACCCCGCUGUUCUGACGGUACCCAAAGAAUAAGCACCGGCUAACUUCGUG
rnacentral:rRNA from 1 species